rnacentral:rRNA from 1 species
AACGAACGCUGGCGGCAGGCCUAACACAUGCAAGUCGAACGCCCUAGCAAUAGGGAGUGGCAGACGGGUGAGUAACACGUGGGAACGUGCCGUUCGGUUCGGAAUAACCCAGGGAAACUUGGACCAAUACCGGAUACGUGCGAGAGCAGAAAGAUUUAUCGCCGAAAGAUCGGCCCGCGUCCGAUUAGCUAGUUGGUGAGGUAAUGGCUCACCAAGGCGACGAUCGGUAGCUGGUCUGAGAGGAUGAUCAGCCACACUGGGACUGAGACACGGCCCAGACUCCUACGGGAGGCAGCAGUGGGGAAUAUUGGACAAUGGGCGCAAGCCUGAUCCAGCCAUGCCGCGUGAGUGAUGAAGGCCCUAGGGUUGUAAAGCUCUUUCGCCAGGGACGAUAAUGACGGUACCUGGAUAAGAAGCCCCGGCUAACUUCGUGCCAGCAGCCGCAGUAAG